rnacentral:lncRNA from 1 species
GUCUUGAACCAUCUCACUUCAUAGUUGACAACUGUGUAGAGUAGCUACUUAGAAGAAGAAAAUAAUAUAAUCCACUCAGAAGACUUCUCGCUUGUAAAUCUAUCACAACAGGAGUGCAAAACCUGGAAGAAGUCUAACAGUUCAAGAAGAUACAGGGAGACUUGGAAAGGCCAAAAUUUAUACAAGUAUCAUCAAAAAGAAACUCAAAAACUCUGUGUCCAAUCCCCUGCUUUGGAGUUCUGGAUGCAAGACGGCUUGGCAGCUGCAAAACCAGUAUUACUCAAGCUGAGUGUCACCUAAGAAAGUUUCACAUCUGGAGAAACAUGGAAGAGAAUUGCUUUUAAUCCUCAACUCCUUUUCCAGAACAUGAAAGUGAUCAGUAUUUUUUAACUAGUUGCUAAAGGCAAAACUGUGAGGUCUUCUGCAGGAUACUAAGGGAAAUAAAUCCUUUAUUAGAAGCUGUGUUUUCUUGAUG